rnacentral:rRNA from 1 species
AUACGUAGGUGACAAGCGUUAUCCGGAUUUACUGGGCGUAAAGGGCGUGUAGGCGGUCUUGCAAGUCAGAAGUGAAAUUCCUGAGCUCAACUCGGGCGCUGCUUCUGAAACUGCAGGACUUGAGUGCUGGAGGGGAUAGCGGAAUUCCUAGUGGAGCGGUAAAAUGCGCAGAUAUUAGGAAGAACACCGGUGGCGAAGGCGGCUAUCUGGACAGUAACUGACGCUGAGGCGCGAAAGCGUGGGGAGCAAACAGGAUUAGAUACCCCGGUAGUCCUGGCAGUAAACGAUGUAUGCUGGGUGUGAGACUAGCGAUAGUUUCGUGCCGAAGUUAACGCGAUAAGCAUACCGCCUGGGGAGUACGGUCGCAAGAUUGAAACUCAAAGGAAUUGACGGGG